AAGCCCCUAGUAAAAUCAUUACAUAGCCCUGUCAGUGCUAAAUUAUAGACUAAUCUCUUUGCGGCUUU
rnacentral:tRNA from 1 species